GUCGAGCGAGGACUUCGGUCCUAGCGGCGGACGGGUGAGUAACGCGUGGGAACGUGCCCUUUGCUACGGAAUAGUCCCGGGAAACUGGGUUUAAUACCGUAUGUGCCCUCUAUUUUGGUGAUGGUUGGGGAAAGAUUUAUCGGCAAAGGAUCGGCCCGCGUUGGAUUAGGUAGUUGGUGGGGUAAUGGCCUACCAAGCCGACGAUCCAUAGCUGGUUUGAGAGGAUGAUCAGCCACACUGGGACUGAGACACGGCCCAGACUCCUACGGGAGGCAGCAGUGGGGAAUCUUAGACAAUGGGGGCAACCCUGAUCUAGCCAUGCCGCGUGAGUGAAGAAGGCCUUCGGGUUGUAAAGCUCUUUUGUCAGGGAAGAAACGGUUGUUCCUAAUACGGACGGCUAAUGACGGUACCUGAAGAAUAAGCACCGGCUAACUACGUGCCAGCAGCCGCGGUAAUACGUAGGGUGCAAGCGUUAAUCGGAAUUACUGGGCGUAAAGCGUGCGCAGGCGGUUAUGUAAGACAGAUGUGAAAUGCCCGGGCUUAACCUGGGAACUGCAUUUGUGACUGCAUGGCUAGAGUUUGGCAGAGGGGGGUAGAAUUCCACGUGUAGCAGUGAAAUGCGUAGAUAUGUGGAGGAACACCGAUGGCGAAGGCAGCCCCCUGGGUCAAGACUGACGCUCAUGCACGAAAGCGUGGGGAGCAAACAGGA
rnacentral:rRNA from 1 species